AGCGAACGCUGGCGGCGUGCCUAACACAUGCCAGUCGAACGUGAAAAGGGAAACCUGAGUAAAGUGGCGUACGGGUGAGUAACGCGUAGGUAAUCUACCCCAGAAUCUGGAAUAACCUGCCGAAAGGCGGGCUAAUACUGGAUAGAGCGAGGGAACUCGUAAGAGAGUUUUUCGGGAAAGGGAGCCCGCAAGGGCCUUCGUUCUGGGAUGAGCCUGCGUCUCAUUAGCUAGUUGGUAAGGUAACGGCUUACCAAGGCGAUGAUGAGUAGCUGGUCUGAGAGGAUGAUCAGCCACACUGGAACUGAAACACGGUCCAGCCUCCUACGGGAGGCAGCAGUGCGGAAUCUUGCGCACUGGCCGAAAGUCUGACGCCGCCGCGCCGCGUGAGUGAAGAAGGCCUUCGGGUUGUAAAGCUCUGUCGGAUGGGACGAACAUCUUCAUAGUGAAUAGCUAUGAGGACUGACGGUACCAUCAAAGGAAGCACCGGCUAACUCCGUG
rnacentral:rRNA from 1 species